rnacentral:rRNA from 1 species
CAGUAGCCGCGGGAAUACGUAGGGUGCAAGCGUUAAUCGGAAUUACUGGGCGUAAAGCGUGCGCAGGCGGUUAUAUAAGACAGAUGUGAAAUCCCCGGGCUCAACCUGGGAACUGCAUUUGUGACUGUAUAGCUAGAGUACGGCAGAGGGGGAUGGAAUUCCGCGUGUAGCAGUGAAAUGCGUAGAUAUGCGGAGGAACACCGAUGGCGAAGGCAAUCCCCUGGGCCUGUACUGACGCUCAUGCACGAAAGCGUGGGGAGCAAACAGGAUUAGAUACCCGUGUAGUCCCUGUCUCUUAUAC